AGCAUGGUCUUAGCUUGCUAAGGCUGAUGGCGACCGGCGCACGGGUGAGUAACACGUAUCCAACCUGCCGUCUACUCUUGGCCAGCCUUCUGAAAGGAAGAUUAAUCCAGGAUGGGAUCAUGAGUUCACAUGUCCGCAUGAUUAAAGGUAUUUUCCGGUAGACGAUGGGGAUGCGUUCCAUUAGAUAGUAGGCGGGGUAACGGCCCACCUAGUCAACGAUGGAUAGGGGUUCUGAGAGGAAGGUCCCCCACAUUGGAACUGAGACACGGUCCAAACUCCUACGGGAGGCAGCAGUGAGGAAUAUUGGUCAAUGGGCGAUGGCCUGAACCAGCCAAGUAGCGUGAAGGAUGACUGCCCUAUGGGUUGUAAACUUCUUUUAUAAAGGAAUAAAGUCGGGUAUGCAUACCCGUUUGCAUGUACUUUAUGAAUAAGGAUCGGCUAACUCCGUGCCAGCAGCCGCGGUAAUACGGAGGAUCCGAGCGUUAUCCGGAUUUAUUGGGUUUAAAGGGAGCGUAGAUGGAUGUUUAAGUCAGUUGUGAAAGUUUGCGGCUCAACCGUAAAAUUGCAGUUGAUACUGGAUGUCUUGAGUGCAGUUGAGGCAGGCGGAAUUCGUGGUGUAGCGGUGAAAUGCUUAGAUAUCACGAAGAACUCCGAUUGCGAAGGCAGCCUGCCAAGCUGCAACUGACAUUGAGGCUCGAAAGUGUGGGUAUCAAACAGG
rnacentral:rRNA from 1 species